AUGAGUAAAGACAUUUUUUAAAGCAUUCGUACCUCUUAAAUGUACUUACUUGCCACAAAAAGGCAAUUUCAACAAGAAAUGUAAUACUACCGGAGAUGUUAAGAACAGCAAUCAACUCGAUACCUCUGUGGGUUCCAAAGGGAGAGGAGGGGGCCCUCCGGAGAAGUAGCCUGUCAGUCUAAAUCUGUGGUGUGCCUCGUCUUCUCUCUGACAGCUGGACGGGUGUCAGAGUCACACACUUUAAAUUACCAGAUUCACACUGAGCACACAGGUCCUACAGAUGCCAGAGACUGUGUUUGAACACAUGAUUUGUUCUGUUCCGGGAGACGGUGGCUGUCUUCACCUCUGACAUCGGGUGUGAUGCUGGUGCCUGAGCAGCGUGGCCAGUCUGCAAGGCACGAGAUCUGCAGUGAAUUCUAACCAGCUCGGGGGGCCACCUUCUUGCACGCAACCGUGUCUAAUCAGUGACACGACUCAUCCACCGGUUCAUGUCCGGUUGGCAGGGUUCUGUAUGCAAAUGCUCGGGGACAUCUGCACCGUCUUGGUCUGGACGUGAUGCUUGGUGGAAGAGACACAAAGCUAAGGGCACGCCGUUCAUCAGGAUGGUGUUACCUUACGACCACCAGGACCACGAACCUCAGAUUCCCUUCCCCAGCAGUGAGUGCGACUUCAUAAAAGGAACCUCCUCGGAACCAGUCUUUCUACCCCAUCUGCAAGGAGGACCUGGGGUCAUACAGAGAAGAAGAGGGCGACGUGGUGGAUCGGGAGCCCAAGAACUGGAGAAGAAAGAACCGAGGCGAUUUCCCAGCAACCGGUGGCAAAGUGCUCUCGGGUUUCUGUCUGGUAACCCUGAAAUCGGAUGCCCGGCCCAGUCAGCUUCUCGAAAUUCCAUCCCAUCUUCAAAAUGUGGAGCUCUGCGUCUUGUAACGUGCCGUGAGCAACACUCUAUGCCUCCGCCGUUUCUUCUGAUGGGCUGCUUUCGAUGUUAAAUCAUCUCCUUCCUCUCUUGGAAACAACAGAGAGGCUUCAUGCGGAAGAUUCACAAGGUCUUGCACAUGCCUUCUUGGGAACAGAGGCCAAGAAAGGAGAAGCUGUGCAUAAAACCCGAAGCCCCAGCUAAGUCCGAUCCACAACUUUACCUUUCUCUCUACACAAUUAAAAAAAAACAGCCUGAUAAACCAAUUGUUGGAGCUAUUAACUAAGUGAUGUGGAACUAGGCAUCUCAAAUCUUGGGAUGUCCUGGUGUGAAGUACCUGAAGCCACCUGCUCAACUUUAUAGUGGGCAAUCUGAGAGCCACAGAUAAUCCCACGUUCCCUGGGACCCUUAUAAAUACACGUUUUGCACCGAAACAGUCUUCAGUACAAAAGUCAUUUGGGUUCUGGGAAGAUGCCUGUCUAUCAAAAAGAGAAAUUAUCUCACAAGGACUCAUUUCUACUUAACAAAAGGCUAGUAGCCUCCAAAAGCCGGGGUAGCUACCCCCCGGCUUUAUGAGAUUUGAAAAAUUAAUUUUAUACUCUGCAUGGAUCACAUCAAAUACGGUCGACAAGUUCAAUAAGGAAUGACAUUAAUAUUCAUCCUUCAGCGUAGUGAGCCACACAGAGUUUUCCAAACGGAAAAGAAAGAAAAAAACGGAAAGGGAAAUGAAUAUUCCAACUUAUAUUUAAAAGGCUGUCAUAACGCCACUCUUAUCUGGAGGAAGAUGAAUCCAUCAAAGCUAUGACUGUUUUCAAAUGGCCACUUAACAUCCAUCCCAGAACGUGCUCCAUGCUAAACAAGUAUUUAUAUAUCAGCAUAUAUAUCGUCAACCGUUAAGCUGGAUAUAUUGUGCCGUUCCCAAUGUGUAUUUUAUUUCAUCAAAUAGUGAAAGAAAAAAUAAUAAUAUAAAAAAACCCCACUACUGUGUUUGUUGUGCAACUAACUAUAAAUUCGGGAACUAAUUUAGCUUCUUUCAACGCCUGCAGGGAAGAUGGUCCAAAUGAAGUCUAUUCACAAUUUGGUUCAAGUAACCCCAGAAUCAUUUAGCUGAUGGUUUUAGAAACUUGGGGGCCGCUACUAAGAGAUUGAUUUAGCAGCAAUCCCUAGUUCAGCGAUGACCAGAAAUCAUCAUAGCAAAAAUUGCCCAUGAAAUAAUUUUCUUAUCUUAAAUUCCAAAAACAUGGCUCACUUAAUGAGGCUGUCACAGACUUAUUUCUUCAUGAAAUAACUUAUGACUUUUAUUUAUCGUUUAAUAAGACAAUAAUAUCUUAAGGGAAAAGCAAGGUUCUUGGAUGCACUUUUCUUUUUUUCCUAAAAUAAAACUUAUGCCCCCGCUCUGCAGAAAUGGACUCUCACUGGAUUUUUUUUUUAAUUGGUUAUUUUUAAAUCGACUGUUGUUAGUUUAACACAUUAGAGUGAAAUUUGCCUGAUCCACCUCCACACAGAAUGUAGGAGAAUUAUUUCACUUUAAAAACGGACCUGGUAGCCGAGUAGGGUAGCGCAUGCCUAGAAUCCCAGCCACUCGGGGUGGGGAGGCUGAGGCAGGAGGAUCACAAGUUUGAGGCCAGACUCAGCCACUCAGUGAGACCCCCCCCCCAUUUCAAAAUAAAAUCCAAAGGGCUGGAGAUGUAGCUCAGAGGGAAAUUGCCCCUGAAAACAACAGGAAAGAGGCAGGAGGAGGGCACAGGAAACACAGGAGCAAGCGAAGGAAAAUCUGGAAGAGACAGAAAGAGAGAGGAAAUGAGGGAGAAAGGGAAGAAGAGAUAGAGGAUGAAAGAAAAUGUCCCAGCAAUGUUUCACGGGAGUGACAACAUCACACUUCUCCCAGUUCCCAGGUGAAUCCCCAGUACAUCCUAGGAGUGAGGGGUUCGAGGGAGUUGUCAUGAGUUACACUUUGCUAACUUACAAAGCAUCUCGGAAAUCACACUUCAUUUUACAGAGGUGUCCUGAGGCCCAGAGAGGUGAUGCAGCUUGCUGGAGGCUGCACAGCCACUUAAAGGAGACUAACUCAAGCUUUUGCCGUCACGGGGGGUGUGCCGUGUGCACUUUAACAGUAAGUACAGA
ensembl:lincRNA